GCAGGUGUAGUCUAGCCUGGUAAGGCGCUGGCCUUGAGUGCUUAAAAAGCCAAGUAAGCCAGUGCGCGUUAGCGUUCGGGGGUUCGAAUCCCUCCACCUGCGCCA
rnacentral:tRNA from 1 species